AUUGAACGCUGGCGGCAUGCCUUACACAUGCAAGUCGAACGGCAGCACGGGGGCAACCCUGGUGGCGAGUGGCGAACGGGUGAGUAAUGCAUCGGAACGUGCCCAGUAGUGGGGGAUAACCAGUCGAAAGACUGGCUAAUACCGCAUACGACCUAAGGGUGAAAGCGGGGGACCGUAAGGCCUCGCGCUAUUGGGGCGGCCGAUGUCUGAUUAGCUAGUUGGCGGGGUAAGAGCCCACCAAGGCGACGAUCAGUAGCUGGUCUGAGAGGACGACCAGCCACACUGGGACUGAGACACGGCCCAGACUCCUACGGGAGGCAGCAGUGGGGAAUUUUGGACAAUGGGCGCAAGCCUGAUCCAGCCAUGCCGCGUGCGGGAAGAAGGCCUUCGGGUUGUAAACCGCUUUUGGCAGGAACGAAACGGCGCAGGCCAAUACCUUGCGCUAAUGACGGUACCUGCAGAAUAAGCACCGGCUAACUACGUGCCAGCCGCCGCGGUAACAC
rnacentral:rRNA from 1 species